CUUGCUGUACAGACCUCUACCAUGCCGGCUGGCUAGGUUGCUCUAAGCGGGAUAUUGGAAACCUACACCCCAUUUGGGACAGACUGUGGGUUCCAUUGGGACUGCAGCCUAGGCCUGGAAAGUGCCCUUUCUCCACAGGCAUUCCAGGCUAGCAGCCAACCUGCUGCAGCUGAGCUGCUCAGAACCAUCCACGCAGCUCAGAGACAGUUUCUAGCUGCCUAGAGGUGAGUAAGCCUCGGCUUUCAGCAGAGGCUUCCCCUGGCGGCAGCUUCGGGAAAGUGAAUCUGUUUCAGUGGUUGCAGCCGCAAAGCCUUAUACUCCCUAAGAUAAGCGCAGCCGUUUUUGUGACCUCUCUCCACCGCUGACCGACUGCUGCUAAACGCCUCGGACUCACUGAACACCUGUGGCACCCACUGGUCAAAGAUAUUUACUGCAUCUGGAGUAGAAAUCAGGUAAAAUUAUGGCGGAAUAUUUAUCAUUUGCUAAAAUUGGUAAUAUUUUUGCAUAUUAUGUGAAUUCACUGAGGAGGAUGCUAAUUUGCCAAUUACAGGCUUAUAUGCUGUAAUGGCAGUUAGCUUGCUGGUACAAAUAGUAUUACUAGCCAGAGGACUCAGGAACAGGGACAGAGAUAACCUCACCACCUGCUUGCAGGAAAUAACAGCUUUACACAAUGAGGUUUUGGAAAACAGAUUAGGUCAGACCUUGACUUUGCAGCAAGUGGAACAGAAAUUGGAUGAUAAGCUUGGCUCUGUGUCCAAUACACUAAAGACAGAGCUGUCUGAUGAGAUGCAGCAUAUUUAUGAUAAGAUAAACACAGAGAGAUCCUCCAUGUCUGAGGCCUUAGAGGCUAGGCUGUCAGAAGACCAUGACCAGCUAAAGAAUAUCUGUAGCCAGCUAGAAACUCAGAUAGGCAAUGUUACUCAUCAACUAGAUGCAACGGUGCAAAAUACCCAGCAUAGGGUUGAAGAAUUGGACAAUGCCAUUCAAUCAGUUAUUGAAGCAUCCAAGGUAGCAGAUCAGAAAUUUGAGUCUAGAUUUGAAUGUUUGGAAAAUAAUUUACAGUACAGGGCUGACAGAUUACAUAGGUCCAUACGGUCGAUUGCUGAGGACUCAAAAUCAGCAAAUCAUGACCUCGAAUCUAGACUCCAAUACCUAGAAGGCAGUUUCCAUGCCAUCCAGAUGCUGCCUAAGGAUGAUCAUAUUAAAGACCUAGAAAAACAUGUAGAUGAGCAGUUAGAGCAAUUUACAGAUUCACUAAUGUGCUUGGAAUCUUUUAUGAUUAAGGAGAUUGAAACUUUUCAAAAGGAUAACAUUGCUAGGCUUAAAGAUCAUUGGGAUACCUCAGAAGCAGAAUCACUCCAAUCCCAGGCAUCUACUCCACCCAGGUAUCAUGACUUUUCUUCUAAGGUUGUUACUUGUACACCAUUAGUGUACCCAAUUAUCAUGGUAGAAAAGCCAGCUUCUAAGAAACACCCUCAUGGACAGAUGGCUUAUGAAUGGCAACCUAUACAGCUGAAUGAUCUUAAGAAUAUUAAAGAAUCAGUUGUCUCAUAUGGUUUCCAUAGCCCAUAUGUAAAACAGCUAUUACAUUCAUGGGCAACCUUUAACAUGGUGACACCCACAGAUUGGGAACGACUGGUAGCAGCUGUACUUGAGAAUUCAUGCCAAAUCCAGUGGAAGGCAUUAGUAAGGGAAGAGGCAAAGCUCCUUGAGUGUCAGGGCAUAAAGGAAGGUUUUGAAGCCCCUCUAGAUAAACUUCUUGGUCAGGGUAUUUAUGCUGACCCACAGGUUCAGGCUAAAUAUGAUGACGAUAUACUGUCUCUAAGCAGGAAAGCAGUAUUAAAUGCCUGGGAUAAGGUUCGUGAGCCAGGAGAAUGCCUAGAAGCUUAUACCAGAAUAGAACAGGGACAUACAGAACAGUUCCAGGAUUUCUUAUAAAGGUUAACUAGGGCAGUAGAAUUACAGGUAACAGAUCCAGAAACAAGACAAUCAAUUAUAUAUACAAUAGCUUAUGAGAAUGCAAACCCAAUAUGCAAAAGAAUACUUUUAUCUUUAAAUCAGAUCAGCUCCGCUAGAAGAAUGGGUUUUGUAUGUAGCCAACAUUGAUUAUAAUGUACAAGAUACUGGAGCUUGGAUAGGAGAAGCCAUUUCAAAAGGUUUAAAAAGGCAACAGGAAAUUCAAAGUUCUAGAGGUGAGGAUGUAAGGGCUUGGCAAGGAGAAGCACCUUACAAAGGUAAACAUAGGUACCAAGAGGCUAGAUGUUACUACUACUAUGAACCAGAACCUUGGGGAGGAAGAGACUUCCCCUGGAGACCAUGAAGGCUCCAGGAACCUAGAUGUUUCAACUGUGGUAAAAUGGGCAUACUAAGAGGAAAUUUUAGACAAACAAAUUCUAACAAUGCCUCAUAUGGAAGGCCACUGCCUUCUGGAUUGUGUAGAAGAUGUGGUAAGGGCAGACACUGGACCAAUGAAUGUAGAUCAACCAGGUACAUACAAGGAAACCCAUUAAGGUUGGGAAACCCCGAGGGGGGGGCUCAAGAAGUCCCCCACAUCGAGAAAGGUCGGGUCAUUCCCAGUAACAGUGGGAGACAAUCUUGCCCAGGAACAAUAGAUAGUUCAUUGCGUAUUGUGAAAAAAACAUACUGCUCUGGAUGGUAUUUUGAAUAAUGAUGAAGAAUCAAGUGUGAAUGGAAAAAAUGAGAAACGCAUAUUUUGGCAAGCUUCUAUUAAUGAUAAAAGGCCUCAGUUGAAAGUGAAUAUUAAUAAUAAAGUUAUUUCUGGCUUAGGGGACACUGGGGUGGUUGUAACUAUUAUUACUCAAAAGUCUUGGACUCAGAAAUGGUCUCUUAGAGAGGCAAAUGUACAAUUUUUAGGAAUUGGAACUCUAUCUAGAGUUCGACAGAGUGUUAACUCAGUGGUCUGCAUUGGACCGGAAGGACAGAAAGGGAUACUGAAACCAUACAUGGCAGAUAUAGCUAUAAAUCUCUGGGGUCAUGAUCUCUUACAGCAAUGGAAUACUCAGAUUAAUAUUCCUCCAGUGUUGGAUACAAGUUAUGUACAAUCUUUAGAUAGUAGAAAAGAUCUGGUAAGACACUAUGGAAAACGGUUAC
rnacentral:lncRNA from 1 species